rnacentral:lncRNA from 1 species
UUCACAGGCAGUCCAAGAACAAUGCCAUGAGAGCCUCACAGAGGCUCAUGUAAAAGCAUCCGAGCAUCUUGUAAAAGCAGAGAAGGGAGAGACUUCUUCCCUAUGGGGAAGAGAAGAGAGUCUUCAGGGAAGAGGGAGCCCUGGAGGAGGUCACGAAUGAUAAGAAGAGUUUUGUGUUCUCUACCCUGAGGAAGUCCCUCCUCCACUUCUGAAAAGCCCAGGUCACUGAUUCGUGUUUAUGGAGCACCUACCAUGUACAAAACUCUUCCAGAAUCUACGGGAAGCCAAAUGACUCUGCUGGCCCGCACCACACUUACAGACUGCUAAGAGAACUAAGAGGAGGAUGGAGGGACAGAAUCUUCUGGAAGGGACUCUGGGAAAGCUUCAUAAAAGAGCGUUCACUGGAGAUGAGCCUUGAAGAGAUUAGGUGAGUCACAGCUGAUCUAGACCAGAACCUGUGUUCUGCCUCCUGGUCCAAUAUUCAGCUUAAACCCAACAGGGGUCAGUGCUAAUGCAGGAUCAGGCCCUGGAGAAGCAGGGCUGCUGCUCUUGGUCCCCCAGGCCUUGCUAGUGGAUAUGUGGGGCCUCAUGUGGAGACAGGGGCUCAGGCCACUCAGAGGUACAUUGGGGGAAUCAUAAGGCAAAGCUACAUGCCUAUAAAUUCACCUCAGAGUAUCCAGGAAUCAUAAAACAGUUGGAUAUCAUAGAAUUACAAAAUGUCAAAGCUGGCAGGGACUUUGGGAAUGAAUCAGCUUGCUCAUUUGACAAAUAAGAGUCUGGAAAACUGAACAGGUCAAGGACUUGUCCAGAUCAC